rnacentral:miRNA from 14 species
GUGUGUGUGUGUGUGUGUGUGUGUGUGUGUAUGUAUAUGUAUGUGUGUGUAUAUAUAUACACACACCAACUCUUCUUUACCCAUUCAUCU